rnacentral:sRNA from 1 species
GCCGGGUGUGGUGAUGCAUGCCUGUAAUCCCAGCAACUCAGUAGGCUGAGGCAGGAGGACCAAGAGUUGAAACCCAGCCUCAGCAACUUAGCAAGGCCCUAAGCAACUCAGCUAGACCCUGUCUCUA